rnacentral:rRNA from 1 species
UUAAGGCACUCGAAGGUGAACCUCUUGGCUCGAGCAUUGAUGAAGACCGCAGCU